rnacentral:rRNA from 1 species
AUUGAACGCUGGCGGCAUGCCUUACACAUGCAAGUCGAACGGCAGCGGGGACUUCGGUCCGCCGGCGAGUGGCGAACGGGUGAGUAAUGUAUCGGAACGUACCAUUCAGUGGGGGAUAACUAUCCGAAAGGAUAGCUAAUACCGCAUAUUCUGUGAGCAGGAAAGCAGGGGAUCGCAAGACCUUGCGCUGAUUGAGCGGCCGAUAUCAGAUUAGCUGGUUGGUGAGGUAACGGCUCACCAAGGCUACGAUCUGUAGCGGGUCUGAGAGGGUGAUCCGCCACACUGGGACUGAGACACGGCCCAGACUCCUACGGGAGGCAGCAGUGGGGAAUUUUGGACAAUGGGCGCAAGCCUGAUUCAGCCAUGCCGCGUGAGUGAAGAAGGCCUUCGGGUUGUAAAGCUCUUUCGGCCGGGAAGAAAUCGCAUCAGCUAAUACCUGGUGUGGAUGACGGUACCGGAAUAAGAAGCACCGGCUAACUACGUGCCAGCCGCCGCGGUAAAAC